rnacentral:misc_RNA from 2 species
CUCCCUCAAACCCUCGGGUUUGGUGUUGAGCGAUACGCUGGGUUUGCUUGAAAGAAAGGCGGAGUAUAAACUAAUGGAUAGGUUUUUUCCACUCAUUGGUACAAACUCCAAAACUUCUUCCAA